rnacentral:tRNA from 1 species
GCGCCCGUAGCUCAGGGGAUAGAGCAUUUGCCUCCGGAGCAAAGGGUCGGACGUUCGAAUCGUCUCGGGCGCGCCA